CUUUUCCUCGCGAAGAUUGGGAAAUUGCUGACUGAAUCUUGCAGUUCUGGUCAAGUCUUGCAGGUUGCAUUCUUGGGCAUGAUUUGAGUGGUGGAGGGGAUAGAAAGAAUAUACAAGAAGUGAACGAUUCUAUGUUUAUUGAUGAUGGAGAAGCUAUUGAUUUGCCUGAUGGCCUUGUUCAAUUUCGGAUGAAUCUUGGUGGAACUUUGCGUUGAUAUCUGUCAGAUUCUAGGCUCUGCUGCAUUCAGGCUAUCUCGAGCUACUGUGUUCAGCAUUAUAACUUCAUACUUUUUGGAUGCUCUUCUAGGCGUUGAUCUGCUCAGCUUCAACAACCUAAACAUUCAAGA